rnacentral:rRNA from 1 species
UGGGGAAUUUUGGACAAUGGGCGAAAGCCUGAUCCAGCAAUGCCGCGUGUGUGAAGAAGGCCUUCGGGUUGUAAAGCACUUUUGUCCGGAAAGAAAUCCUUGGCUCUAAUACAGUCGGGGGAUGACGGUACCGGAAGAAUAAGCACCGGCUAACUACGUGCCAGCAGCCGCGGUAAUACGUAGGGUGCAAGCGUUAAUCGGAAUUACUGGGCGUAAAGCGUGCGCAGGCGGUUUGCUAAGACCGAUGUGAAAUCCCCGGGCUCAACCUGGGAACUGCAUUGGUGACUGGCAGGCUAGAGUAUGGCAGAGGGGGGUAGAAUUCCACGUGUAGCAGUGAAAUGCGUAGAGAUGUGGAGGAAUACCGAUGGCGAAGGCAGCCCCCUGGGCCAAUACUGACGCUCAUGCACGAAAGCGUGGGGAGCAAACAGGAUUAGAUACCCUGGUAGUCCACGCCCUAAACGAUGUCAACUAGGUUGUUGGGGAUUCAUUUCCUUAGUAACGUAGCUAACGCGUGAAGUUGACCGCCUGGGGAGUACGGUCGCAAGAUUAAAACUU